AGAGUUGAUCCUGGCUCAGGAUGAACGCUGGCGGCGCGCCUAACACAUGCAAGUCGAACGGUGAAGUCCCUCGGGGGCGGAUCAGUGGCGGACGGGUGAGUAACGCGUGAGUAACCUGCCCUUACGAGCGGAAUAACGUCCGGAAACAGACGCUAAUACCGCAUGACACGUGCUUCCGGCAUCGGAGGCACGUCAAAGAUUUAUCGCGUAAGGAUGGACUCGCGUCCCAUUAGGUAGUUGGCGGGGCAACGGCCCACCAAGUCAGCGAUGGGUAGCCGGACUGAGAGGUUGAACGGCCACAUUGGAACUGAGAGACGGUCCAGACUCCUACGGGAGGCAGCAGUGGGGAAUAUUGGGCAAUGGGCGAAAGCCUGAACCCCCAGCGACGCCGCGUGAGCGAAGAAGGUCUUCGGAUUGUAAAGCUCUGUUGACAGGGACGAAAAAAUGACGGUACCUGUCGAGGAAGCCACGGCUAACUACGUGCCAGCAGCGGC
rnacentral:rRNA from 1 species